rnacentral:rRNA from 1 species
UACGUAGGGUGCGAGCGUUAAUCGGAAUUACUGGGCGUAAAGUGUGCGCAGGCGGCUCUGCAAGUCGAGUGUGAAAUCCCCGAGCUUAACUUGGGAAUUGCGCUCGAAACUAUGGAGCUGGAGUGUGGCAGAGGAAGGUGGAAUUCCACGUGUAGCGGUGAAAUGCGUAGAGAUGUGGAGGAACACCGAUGGCGAAGGCGGCAUCCUGGACCGACACUGACGCUGAGGCGCGAAAGCUAGGGUAGCAAACGGG